rnacentral:rRNA from 1 species
GGAGAUUCAUCGUCAAAAUAUUUGGUAUUAAUGCUAGUUAUGAUAUGGUAAAUAAUCCUUGUGGUUAGUAGUACUGUACAUUCUAUUAUUAUUUUUACCUUAUAUGUCGGCGUGCCCUUCAGUAGAACGUCGUGACCCAUUAAAUGUUGAUUUGUAGCCCGAUUGAUUGUCUCUUUCUGCUCGUCAGUUGGAGGUCAUUGGUGUUCCUUAAUCAACUGUUUGAUGGUAUUCGUAUGGUAUUAAGUCGCUACUUUAUUAGCGUUAAAUUCAUCACAAGUGCGGUUAAUAUUUGACAGUACGGAUUUAAUGCCGUCGUUAAAAUUAACCAACUGUUAGUUGAUGAUAUUCUUUAACUGACUUUAAUACCGGUCAACGACGCUACUGCUUUGGGUACUUUCAGGACCCGUCUUGAAACACGGACCAAGGAGUCUAACAUGUACGCAAGUCAUUGGGAUUUUAAAACAAACCUAAAGGCAUAAUGAAAGUAAAGAUUGUCUUUAGACAAUUAAGGGAAGAUAGGUUAUAUUACGAUAUAAUCUCGCAUUCCCGGGGGA